rnacentral:ncRNA from 2 species
AAAAAUGAAUCUCCAUUGGGACGACGGCGGGAGCCGUCAGGAAAUAGAUGGGGAAUCCGGUUAGAAUCCGGAGCAGUUCCGCUACUGUAAUUCUUCCACAGGAAGAUAAGCCAGAAUACCAGCCUGAUGGAUGCCUAUGCA